rnacentral:rRNA from 1 species
AGGGUUUGAUCCUGGCUCAGAACGAACGCUGGCGGCGUGGAUUAGGCAUGCAAGUCGAACGAGGAUAUAUCCUUCGGGAUAUAAGCCGAGUGGCACAAGGGUGAGCAAUGCAUAGAUUACCUACCUUUAGGAUAAGGACAACUUUGUGAAAACGGAGCUAAUACUUAAUAAUACAAAAGAAAAUAAUUUUCUUUUGUCAAAGGGAGGGUAGCAAUACCUUUCGCCUAGAGAGGGGUUUAUGUCCUAUCAGCUUGUUGGUGGGGUAAUAGCCUACCAAGGCGAAGACGGGUAGCCGGUUUAAGAGGAUGGUCGGCCACACUGGGACUGAGACACUGCCCAGACUUCUACGGAAGGCUGCAGUCGAGAAUCUUUCGCAAUGCCCGAAAGGGUGACGAAGCGACGCCGCGUGGGUGAAGAAGGCCUUCGGGUUGUAAAGCCCUGUCAGGAGUUAUGAAAUGUAAGUGCGCUAAUAUCGUGCUUAUUUGACAAAGGCUCCAAAGGAAGCCACGGCUAACUCUGUGCCAGCAGCCGCGGUAAUACAGAGGUGGCGAGCGUUGUUCGGAAUUAUUGGGCGUAAAGAGCACGUAGGUGGGUUUGCAAGUCAGAUGUGAAAGCCUUCUGUUCAACGGAAGAAUUGCAUCUGAAACUGCUAAUCUUGAGUAUAGGAGGGGAGAAUGGAACUUCUGGUGGAGCGGUGAAAUGCGUAGAUAUCAGAAGGAACGCCGGCGGCGAAAGCGAUUCUCUGGCCUAUUACUGACACUCAGUGUGCGAAAGCUAGGGGAGCAAACGGGAUUAGAUACCCCGGUAGUCCUAGCCGUAAACGAUGGGCACUAAGUAGAGGGAAUUACCUAUAUUCUCUCUGCCGUAGCUAACGCAUUAAGUGCCCCGCCUGGGGAGUACGGCCGCAAGGCUAAAACUCAAAGGAAUUGACGGGGGC